UCUAUACGGUGAAACUGCGAAUGGCUCAUUAAAUCAGUUAUCGUUUAUUUGAUAGUACCUUGCUACAUGGAUAACCGUGGUAAUUCUAGAGCUAAUACAUGCUAAAAACCCCGACUUCGGAAGGGGUGUAUUUAUUAGAUAAAAAACCAAUGCCCUUCGGGGCUCCUUGGUGAUUCAUAAUAACUUAACGAAUCGCAUGGCCUUGCGCCGGCGAUGGUUCAUUCAAAUUUCUGCCCUAUCAACUUUCGAUGGUAGGAUAGUGGCCUACCAUGGUUUCAACGGGUAACGGGGAAUUAGGGUUCUAUUCCGGAGAGGGAGCCUGAGAAACGGCUACCACAUCCAAGGAAGGCAGCAGGCGCGCAAAUUACCCAAUCCCGACACGGGGAGGUAGUGACAAUAAAUACUGAUACAGGGCUCUUUUGGGUCUUGUAAUUGGAAUGAGUACAAUUUAAAUCCCUUAACGAGGAACAAUUGGAGGGCAAGUCUGGUGCCAGCAGCCGCGGUAAUUCCAGCUCCAAUAGCGUAUAUUAAAG
rnacentral:rRNA from 1 species